rnacentral:rRNA from 1 species
GACGAACGCUGGCGGCGUGCUUAACACAUGCAAGUCGAACGGAAAGGCCCUGCUUUUGUGGGGUGCUCGAGUGGCGAACGGGUGAGUAACACGUGAGUAACCUGCCCUUGACUUUGGGAUAACUUCAGGAAACUGGGGCUAAUACCGGAUAGGAGCUCCUGCUGCAUGGUGGGGGUUGGAAAGUUUCGGCGGUUGGGGAUGGACUCGCGGCUUAUCAGCUUGUUGGUGGGGUAGUGGCUUACCAAGGCUUUGACGGGUAGCCGGCCUGAGAGGGUGACCGGCCACAUUGGGACUGAGAUACGGCCCAGACUCCUACGGGAGGCAGCGGUGGGGAAUAUUGCACAAUGGGCGGAAGCCUGAUGCAGCAACGCCGCGUGCGGGAUGACGGCCUUCGGGUUGUAAACCGCUUUCGCCUGUGACGAAGCGUGAGUGACGAUAAUGGGUAAAGAAGCACCGGCUAACUACGUG